UACAGAGGUCUCAAGCGUUGUUCGGAUUCAUUGGGCGUAAAAGGGGUGUGUAGGUGGCGCCCGUAAGUCGGGUGUGAAAUUUCGGAGCUUAACUCCGAAACUGCAUUCGAUACUGCGGUGCUUGAGGACUGGAGAGGAGACUGGAAUUCAUGGUGUAGCAGUGAAAUGCGUAGAGAUCAUGAGGAAGACCAGUGGCGAAGGCGGGUCUCUGGACAGUUCCUGACACUGAGACACGAAGGCCAGGGGAGCAAACGGG
rnacentral:rRNA from 1 species